rnacentral:lncRNA from 1 species
ACCUCGCCAUUGCACUCCAGUCUGGGGCACAGAUCGAGACUUCAUCUCAAAAAAAAAAAAAAAAAAGGAAAAGGAAGGGAUGGCAUGUGCCACAUGGACACCGUGGCCCGGCAGAGGGGCUGCGAGAGGCCCUAGGCAGGAGUGAACGUGGAGAAGGGUGGCGUGUGUGAAUGAUGAUGGGGAAAGCAGCAGGUGAGGUCCCGGGGGUAGCGGUGGGACAGGAUGAAGAGGCAUUUGUGCCAUGGUAAGAAAUCACUGCUUUUGCUCUGACUGAGACGUCACUGGAGGGCUUUCAUCAGAGAACAGACCACGUGAUCUGCCAAUGAGUGAGCAGAGCAAGUGGGAAAGAAAAGGGCGGAGGCAGGGAGGCCAUGAAGUGUGGCUGUAACAGCUCAGGUGAGGCCAGGGGCCUAGUUGGGGCGGGGCGUGGUGGGUAGCAGAGCUCACUUGGGAAAUUAAGAGGAGCUCAGCAGGACGCCAGGCCCUCGGCCUAGACAAGGAGAGGAAGGAGCUGCUGCAGCCACCUAAGCUGGGGAAGACAGUUAAGCAGGAGGUGUGGACUGCGCUCAGUGUCUGGUCGUGGACACAGCAACACUUACACCGAGGGAAUGAGCACAGCUCCUCAGCACUCAGCCACUCAGCCUCCAAGACACCGGCUCUCCUGUUUCAUAGCCACUCUCUCAACCUCCUUUGCUCCCUAACCUCUAAACACCUCUGAGGCAUCCAAGCAAAGGUGUCAAGAAAUCAGCUGAGGGCCGGGCGCGGUAGCUCAUGCCUGUAAUCCCAGCACUUCAGGAGGUCAGGCAGGCGGAUCACCUGAGGCCAGGAGUUUGAGACCAGCCUGGCUAACAGUGAAACC